rnacentral:rRNA from 1 species
CAGGCAGGCGGUUCUGUGUGUCCUCUGUGAAAGCCCUCGGCUCAACCGAGGAAUUGCAGGGGAAACUGCGGGACUUGAGUCCGGGAGAGGCUAGUGGAAUUCCCAGUGUAGCGGUGAAAUGCGUAGAUAUUGGGAGGAACACCAGUGGCGAAGGCGGCUAGCUGGACCGGUACUGACGCUGAACUGCGAAAGCUAGGGGAGCGAACAGGAUUAGAUACCCUGGUAGUCC